GCCCUGGUGGUGGAAUUGGUAGACACAAGGGAUUUAAAAUCCUCGGCGUUCGCGCUGUGCCGGUUCAAGUCCGGCCCGGGGCACCA
rnacentral:tRNA from 3 species